GAAAAGAAAAGAAAAGAAAAGUCUACGCAAGCCAAAGGCCGCGUGCAUUAAGGGAAGAACCCCUAACAAAAGUUAGAGGCCUCACCAGGAGGCCCUCCACCUAAACUAGACAAAAGUAGCCUAGGAGAGAGCAAGAGACAGAACUAAUGGGGAUCUGGAGGAUUGCUAGCCAUGCCCCUGAGCGCUCGGACUCUCCUUC
rnacentral:lncRNA from 1 species